UACAGAGGUCUCAAGCGUUGCUCGGAAUCACUGGGCGUAAAGCGCACGUAGGCGGGUUCUUAAGUCAGGGGUGAAAUCCUGGAGCUCAACUCCAGAACUGCCUUUGAUACUGGGAAUCUCGAGUCCGGGAGAGGUGAGUGGAACUGCGAGUGUAGAGGUGAAAUUCGAUAGAUAUUCGCAAGAACACCAGUGGCGAAGGCGGCUCACUGGCCCGAUACUGACGCUGAGGCACGAAAGCGUGGGGAGCAAACAGG
rnacentral:rRNA from 1 species